AUUGAACGCUGGCGGCAGGCCUAACACAUGCAAGUCGAGCGGAUGACGGGAGCUUGCUCCUUGAUUCAGCGGCGGACGGGUGAGUAAUGCCUAGGAAUCUGCCUGGUAGUGGGGGACAACGUUUCGAAAGGAACGCUAAUACCGCAUACGUCCUACGGGAGAAAGCAGGGGACCUUCGGGCCUUGCGCUAUCAGAUGAGCUUAGGUCGGAUUAGCUAGUUGGUGGGGUAAUGGCUCACCAAGGCGACGAUCCGUAACUGGUCUGAGAGGAUGAUCAGUCACACUGGAACAGAGACACGGUCCAGACUCCUACGGGAGGCAGCAGUGGGGAAUAUUGGACAAUGGGCGAAAGCCUGAUCCAGCCAUGCCGCGUGUGUGAAGAAGGUCUUCGGAUUGUAAAGCACUUUAAGUUGGGAGGAAGGGCAGUAAGUUAAUACCUUGCUGUUUUGACGUUACCGACAGAAUAAGCACCGGCUAACUCUGUGCCAGCAGCCGCCGUAA
rnacentral:rRNA from 1 species